GGAGAAGGGCCAUAGCUCAUGGCAAGAACUUCUGCCUUGCAUGCAGAAGGUUCCAGGUUCAAUCCCUGGCAUCUCCA